UAUGCAAACUUACCUGUUCUUUUUUGACUUCUUUUUACUCCAAUAACCUUGGAGGCGGGAUCGUUUGCAGAAGAUAAGUCAAAAACGAACAAGAAGCCUCCCAAAUGGGAG
rfam:Vibrio genomosp. F10 strain 9CSC122 9CSC122_contig_950, whole genome shotgun sequence.